rnacentral:rRNA from 1 species
UACGGGGGGAGCAAGCGUUGUUCGGAUUUACUGGGCGUAAAGGGCGCGUAGGCGGCGUGACUAGUCACUUGUGAAAUCUCCGGGCUUAACUCGGAACGGUCAAGUGAUACUGUCGUGCUAGAGUACAGAAGGGGCAACUGGAAUUCUCGGUGUAGCGGUGAAAUGCGCAGAUAUCGGGAAGAACACCCGUGGCGAAGGCGACUUACUGGACACAUAUUGACGCUGAGGUGCGAAAGCGUGGGGAGCAAACAGG